GAUCGACCUCAAAUCAGGUAGGACUACCCGCUGAACUUAAGCAUAUCAAUAAA
rnacentral:rRNA from 1 species